UACAGAGGGGGCAAGCGUUGUUCGGAAUUACUGGGCGUAAAGGGCGCGUAGGCGGCCUGUUAAGUCGAACGUGAAAUCCCCGGGCUCAACCCGGGAACUGCGUCCGAUACUGGCAGGCUUGAAUCCGGGAGAGGGAUGUGGAAUUCCAGGUGUAGCGGUGAAAUGCGUAGAUAUCUGGAGGAAUACCGGUGGCGAAGGCGGCGUUCUGGACCAUAACUGACGCUGAGGCACGAAGGUCAGGGGAGCAAACGGG
rnacentral:rRNA from 1 species